AUACGAAGGGGGCUAGCGUUGUUCGGAUUUACUGGGCGUAAAGCGCACGUAGGCGGAUUGUUAAGUCGGGGGUGAAAUCCUGGAGCUCAACUUCAGAAUUGCCUUCGAUACUGGCUUUCUAGAGGCUGGAAGAGGUUAGUGGAAUUCCCAGUGUAGAGGUGAAAUUCGUAGAUAUUGGGAAGAACACCAGUGGCGAAGGCGGCUAACUGGUCCAGAUCUGACGCUGAGGUGCGAAAGCGUGGGGAGCAAACAGGA
rnacentral:rRNA from 1 species